UACGUAGGGUGCGAGCGUUAAUCGGAAUUACUGGGCGUAAAGUGUGCGCAGGCGGCAGAGCAAGGCGAGUGUGAAAGCCCCGGGCUUAACUUGGGAAUUGCGCUCGAAACUACUUUGCUGGAGUGUGGCAGAGGAAGGUGGAAUUCCACGUGUAGCGGUGAAAUGCGUAGAGAUGUGGAGGAACACCAAUGGCGAAGGCAGCCUUCUGGGCCAACACUGAAGCUCAUGCACGAAAGCGUGGGGAGCAAACAGG
rnacentral:rRNA from 1 species